GACGAACGCUGGCGGCGCGCCUAACACAUGCAAGUCGAGCGAUGAAAGUUGUUCAGAUCCUUCGGGUGACGAACUUCUGGAUUAGCGGCGAACGGGUGAGUAACGCGUGAGGAACCUGCCUCUCACAACGGGAUAGCCUCGGGAAACCGGGAUUAAUACCGUAUGACACUAUCAGAUGGCAUCAUCAGGUAGUUAAAGUGCUAGCGGUGAGAGAUGGCCUCGCGUCUGAUUAGUUAGUUGGUGGGGUAACGGCCUACCAAGACGACGAUCAGUAACCGGCCUGAGAGGGUGAACGGUCACAUUGGAACUGAGACACGGUCCAAACUCCUACGGGAGGCAGCAGUGGGGAAUCUUGCACAAUGGGGGAAACCCUGAUGCAGCGACGCCGCGUGAGCGAUGAGGGUUUUCGAAUCGUAAAGCUCUGUCCUAUGGGAAGAUAAUGACGGUACCAUAGGAGGAAGCCCCGGCUAACUACGUGCCAGCAGCCGCGGUAAUACGUAGGGGGCGAGCGUUGUCCGGAAUUACUGGGCGUAAAGGGUUCGCAGGCGGCAUGACAAGUCCGAUGUAAAAGGCGAAAGCUCAACUUUCGUAAGCAUCGGAAACUGUCAAGCUUGAGUGAAGGAGAGGCAAGUGGAAUUCCUAGUGUAGCGGUGGAAUGCGUAGAUAUUAGGAGGAAUACCGGUGGCGAAGGCGACUUGCUGGACUUCAACUGACGCUGAGGAACGAAAGCGUGGGUAGCAAACAGG
rnacentral:rRNA from 1 species